AGUUUGAUCAUGGCUCAGGACGAACGCUAGCGGCAGGCCUAAUACAUGCAAGUCGAACGGUAAGGUCUCUUCGGAGAUACACGAGUGGCGCACGGGUGCGUAACGCGUAUGCAACCUACCCUAAAGCGGGGGAAAGUCGCGGGAAACUGCGAAUAAUACCCCAUGUGAUCUUAAUAUUUCAUGAUAUAAAGAUGAAAGCUCCGGCGCUUUAGGAUGGGCAUGCGUCCCAUUAGUUAGUUGGUAAGGUAACGGCUUACCAAGACAAUGAUGGGUAGCUGGUCUGAGAGGAUGAUCAGCCACACGGGCACUGAGACACGGGCCCGACUCCUACGGGAGGCAGCAGUAAGGAAUAUUGGUCAAUGGGGGCAACCCUGAACCAGCCAUGCCGCGUGGAGGAAGAAGGCCCUCUGGGUCGUAAACUGCUUUUCUGAGGGACUAACUAUGUACUAUACGUACAUUUGCAGGUACCUUAGGAAUAAGCACCGGCUAACUACGUGCCAGCAGCCGCGGUAACACGUAGGGUGCAAGCGUUGUCCGGAUUUAUUGGGUUUAAAGGGUGCGCAGGCGGUUUGUUAAGUUUGUGGUGAAAACGUCCCGCUUAACGGGAUAACCGCCAUGGAUACUGGCAGACUUGAGUAUGUCUGAGGAAGUUAGAAUGCGUGGUGUAGCGGUGAAAUGCAUAGAUAUCACGCAGAAUACCGAUUGCGAAGGCAGACUUCUAAGACAUAACUGACGCUGAGGCACGAAAGCGUGGGGAGCGAACAGGAUUAGAUACCCUGGUAGUCCACGCUGUAAACGAUGAUCACUAGGUGUUCGUCCUUCGGGAUGAGUGCCCAAGCGAAAGCGAUAAGUGAUCCACCUGGGGAGUACGUUCGCAAGAAUGAAACUCAAAGGAAUUGACGGGGGCCCGCACAAGCGGAGGAGCAUGUGGUUUAAUUCGAUGAUACGCGAGGAACCUUACCUGGGCUCAAACGUAGAGUGACCAUCUCGAAAACAGAUCUCCCUUCGGGGCAAUCUACGAGGUGCUGCAUGGUUGUCGUCAGCUCGUGCCGUGAGGUGUCGGGUUAAGUCCCAUAACGAGCGCAACCCCUAUUCUUAGUUGCCAUCAGGUAAUGCUGGGGACUCUAAGGAGACUGCCUCCGCAAGGAGUGAGGAAGGCGGGGACGACGUCAAAUCAUCAUGGCCCUUACGCCCAGGGCGACACACGUGCUACAAUGGUCAGUACAGCGGGUUGCUACUUCGCAAGAAGAUGCCAAUCCCUAAAAGCUGAUCUCAGUUCGAAUUGGAGUCUGCAACUCGACUCCAUGAAGUCGGAAUCGCUAGUAAUCGCAGAUCAGCCAUGCUGCGGUGAAUACGUUCCCGGGCCUUGUACACACCGCCCGUCAAGCCAUGGAAGCUGGGGGUGCCUGAAGUCGGGAUUUUGAUCCCGCCUAGGGUAAAACUAGUAACUGGGGCUAAGUCGUAACAAGGUAGCCGUACCGGAAGGUGUGGAUGGAUCACCU
rnacentral:rRNA from 1 species